rnacentral:rRNA from 1 species
UUUAAUUGAAGAGUUUGAUCAUGGCUCAGAUUGAACGCUGGCGGCAGGCCUAACACAUGCAAGUCGAACGGUAGCACAGGGGAGCUUGCUCCCCGGGUGACGAGUGGCGGACGGGUGAGUAAUGUCUGGGAAACUGCCCGAUGGAGGGGGAUAACUACUGGAAACGGUAGCUAAUACCGCAUAACGUCGCAAGACCAAAGUGGGGGACCUUCGGGCCUCACACCAUCGGAUG